GUGGGGAAUAUUGGACAAUGGGCGAAAGCCUGAUCCAGCCAUGCCGCGUGUGUGAAGAAGGUCUUCGGAUUGUAAAGCACUUUAAGUUGGGAGGAAGGGCAGUAAGUUAAUACCUUGCUGUUUUGACGUUACCGACAGAAUAAGCACCGGCUAACUUCGUGCCAGCAGCCGCGGUAAUACGAAGGGUGCAAGCGUUAAUCGGAAUUACUGGGCGUAAAGCGCGCGUAGGUGGUUUUGUAAGUUGGAGGUGAAAUCCCCGGGCUCAACCUGGGAACUGCCUCCAAAAAUGCAUGACUAGAGUACGGUAGAGGGUAGUGGAAUUUCCUGUGUAGCGGUGAAAUGCGUAGAUAUAGGAAGGAACACCAGUGGCGAAGGCGACUACCUGGACUGAUACUGACACUGAGGUGCGAAAGCGUGGGGAGCAAACAGGAUUAGAAACCCCAGUAGUCC
rnacentral:rRNA from 1 species